UACGUAGGUGGCAAGCGUUGUCCGGAAUUACUGGGUGUAAAGGGAGCGUAGGCGGGGCGACAAGUUGGAUGUCAAAGGCAUCGGCUCAACCGGUGUAAGCAUUCAAAACUGCCGCUCUUGAGUGGAGUAGAGGUAAGCGGAAUUCCUAGUGUAGCGGUGAAAUGCGUAAAUAUUAGGAGGAACACCAGUGGCGAAGGCGGCUUACUGGGCUUUAACUGACGCUGAGGCUCGAAAGCGUGGGUAGCAAA
rnacentral:rRNA from 1 species